CAAUAACAUCACAAAUAUUUUGGCUUGUCAAAUGUAACAAUCGACAUCAAUGAUGAAGAAAUCAUAUUGUUGGAUGGUUUAAUUUGAACUUUCAUUUAUAGAAAAGGUCAUAUCGCCCACAUAAACAUAUGGGAGUUGUAACAUUGAGUCCUGAGGGGUUUGUGCAGACAACUCUCUUAAGUCAGGAGUGCAGUCAAAACUUACUGAGCUGCAUGGCCAACUUCAAGAACUCCGGAGGGCGAAUGUUUGAAGGAAGUAAGCGCUAAGUUGAGGAUGUCAUCGACAUCCUCUCUCUUGUCACGGAAGCUGCUUUGCUUGCCGGAAUAUACCUCCACAAGCCCUGAAUCUCUUUCCUUGUUCAAUGGACAUAUCAACUCGGAUCCCUCCACCUCACUUCGCGAUCACCCCUCUCUUUCAACUUUUGUGCUCUGUCUUUGUCUGUUCUCGUUCUGUUGCAACAAAUGGGAAAAAGAGUAGAGAGUAUUGAAGGUGCCUUUGUUUUCCUUUCCUGUAGAAUUGGAAGAUUAAUGGAAACUGACAAGGGACUUCAAUUAUAACUGCAGAAACAAGAACAUGAAGUGGCCAGAGAGUUCAAAACACAAGAUCCACGUACAAAUAUAGAACGCCAAAUAUUGUGAAUUGAACAUAUUACCCUAUACUUCCAUACUUAAAUUAAUUAAUGUUAACAUUAUCCUGAUGAGGGGGAACGGACUUGAUUUUACCAUAAGGGCGACCAAGAAAGACAUUUGAAUCGUUGACAAACAACUGUGACCUUUAGUGAGCAUCCGUAGUAGCUAUUAAAAGAAUUAUGGUUGAGACUCACAUAUGUGUCCUCUGUUUCUAAUGUUAGGAUGUUCAAUCUUCGGCAUUAGGAAUCACGUAAUUAUGGUUGAUAUUUUCCUCAAGUUCAUAAAAACCCAACUGAAGAGACAUGGAACAUGUGAUGUGUAAUUUGCCUACAUUAGCCGUUACUUAAGUGGGGCCUAGAUCCCAACUCCCAUCUCUCUCUUGUGCAAAGGAGAAGAAGAUGAUGACGAUGAUGCAAUCAAUUGGGGUAGGGGCAAUAAGAACAGAAACUGAAACAAACGCUUUUUCUUGUUGCGACUCAUGAAGUUGUUAUGUCAAAGGUUUGGCGGUUUCACGGUUCCUUGCCCCCAACAACCCCUCCUUUCCCUCGACGGUUAACAACCUUUUCCUUAAAUCCUUCCCCCCACCGCAUCCCUCUCCCCAUCCUUGCCAUCCAUAUAUGCUAACUUGGUUCGGUCAUUUCAACGAACACAUGAUAAGCAGCAAGUUGGGAUUAGUAACAGCGCAUCAAAGUCCAGAGGUGCCCCAACUCUCAAAAUAGGAAAUUGCACACCGUCAUCCACGGUUAGGCUUUGUGCUCAAGCAUGCGAUCCAAGUCGAAAAGACGUAAAAAAACAAACAACUGAAAACGGGAAAAAAAUCAUCAGCGCAAGCCGACGCACGCAACAAAGCAUCAGAUUGGAACUAACGACUAAGCACAAAUCAGCAAUUCCAGCGACCGUGAAUGUCACGACAGACGGCAAAAGACAGAAAAAGGCAAACCUGAAGCACGGCAUCUCUAGUCCCCAGCCACCGGAGCCAGGCAAAAAAAUGCACUCAACGACAGGGGAGGGGAGAAAAACCACGAGAAAUGAAGGAGAAACCGUACGAACCGUGAGAAACGCUGGACCCACUCGGCGAUUUGCGGUACCCGUAGGAGCUCCUCCGCCAGCCGCAGUCCAAGACCUCCCUCCUUCCUCACCGGGAACACCGGGCUUCGGGAGCGAGGGGGAGAGAGGAGAGACGAACUGCAGAGGAUGAGCAAAAGAAAAGCGCAGUCGAGCAAGAAGAGGUUGUCGCGAGGGAGAGAGCGACGGAAGGGUCAGAGCAAUCGAGCAAGAAGAGGUUUCGCGAGGGAGAGAGCGA
rnacentral:lncRNA from 1 species